CUUUCUAAUCCUUCCCCCUCGGCCAAUUCCGGACAGGAACCCUUUUUAGAUUCUUCCACGUGGAAGCGUAGGACUAAUUUCGUCCACACCAUCCGGAAUGGCCAACAUGGCGGCCGCCAUAAGAUGCCUCGGUAGAGUCUUGAUACAUCAUCAUCAGCAUAGUCUUUUCAAGAUGGCUUAUCAGACACAUCUUUAUCCUUGUUCUGUAUGUGUUCAGGGGCCCAGCAGACAUUUUGCUGCUGCUACAAAGCCUGCAAAGAAAACGAAAAAAAGUAUGAAAGGCAAAGCAUCAGAUGAGAAAAAAGAUGAGAUUGAAAAAAUAAAGUCAUACUCCUUUAUGGAAGGCGAACCUGAGGAUGAUGUCUACUUAAAGCGCUUGUAUCCAAGGCAGAUAUAUGAGGUGGAGAAAGCUAUUCAGUUACUUAAGAAAUUUCAAAUUCUAGACUUUACUAAUCCAAAACAAGGUGUUUAUCUUGAUUUGACACUGGAUAUGGCACUGGAGAAGAAGAAAAAAGUGGAGCCGUUUGCCAGUGUUCUUCGUUUUCCAUACCCAUUCGUUUCAGAAAUCAAUAAAGUUGCUGUAUUUACAGGGAAUGCAUCCGAGAUUAAAAUAGCAGAAGAACAUGGAGCUGCGUUUGCCGGAGGAAUUAAUCUGAUUCAGAAGAUUUUGGAUGAUGAAAUUCAAUCAGACUUUUAUGUAGCUGUUCCAGAAAUAAUGCCCGAGCUUAAUCCAUUAAAGAAAAAGCUGAAAAAAAGAUUUCCAAAACUAACUCGAAAUUCCAUUGGCCGUGACAUCCCCAAAAUGCUUGAGUUAUUUAAAAUGGGACAUGAAAUUAAGGUAGAUGAAGAAAGGGGGAACUUUCUCGAGACCAAAAUAGCAACAGCCCCCAGACUUGUCCUGCAUGAAAUUGCAGGUGAACCCAACCUUCUGUAUCUGCAGGCCGACUUCCCCAUGGACCACCCACCCCCUGACACCGUGGGCCUCCUGAGGCGAUUCUGCUGUCUCCGUCUUCCCACCCUGGCUGCAGUUGGACCCAGAGGCACACAGCGUCUGGGGCCGAAGUUGUCAUGAGUACAGGAGCCGCUCCCUCCAGGGGAGCAUCAGACCCAACCUCCGGGGGGUACAGCCACUUCAGGAGGCUGGAUAUGCCAAGUGACCAGAUAGAAGCAAAUCUUCAAGCAGUUAUCAGUGAAGUCUGUAAGCACAGACCAGUCAAUUUGG